rnacentral:rRNA from 1 species
AUUGAACGCUGGCGGCAUGCCUUACACAUGCAAGUCGAACGGCAGCACGGGGGCAACCCUGGUGGCGAGUGGCGAACGGGUGAGUAAUGCAUCGGAACGUGCCCAGUAGUGGGGGAUAACCAGUCGAAAGACUGGCUAAUACCGCAUACGACCUACGGGUGAAAGCGGGGGACCGUAAGGCCUCGCGCUAUCGGAGCGGCCGAUGUCUGAUUAGCUAGUUGGCGGGGUAAGAGCCCACCAAGGCGACGAUCAGUAGCUGGUCUGAGAGGACGACCAGCCACACUGGGACUGAGACACGGCCCAGACUCCUACGGGAGGCAGCAGUGGGGAAUUUUGGACAAUGGGCGCAAGCCUGAUCCAGCCAUGCCGCGUGCGGGAAGAAGGCCUUCGGGUUGUAAACCGCUUUUGGCAGGAACGAAACGGCGCAAGCCAAUACCUUGCGCUAAUGACGGUACCUGCAGAAUAAGCACCGGCUAACUACGUGCCAGCCGCCGCGGUAACAC